rnacentral:rRNA from 1 species
UACAGAGGGUGCGAGCGUUAAUCGGAAUUACUGGGCGUAAAGCGUGCGUAGACGGUUAUUUAAGUCGGAUGUGAAAGCCCCGGGCUCAACCUGGGAAUUGCAUUCGAGACUGAAUAGCUAGGGUACGGUAGAGGGAAGCGGAAUUUCCGGUGUAGCGGUGAAAUGCGUAGAUAUCGGGAGGAACACCCGUAGCGAAGGCGGCACUCUGGGCCGGUACUGACGCUGAGGAGCGAAAGCGUGGGGAGCAAACAGG